GCUCCAGUGGCCCAGUUGUGAGAGUGUUCGCCUCUGAUGCGGGAGGUAGCGGGUUUGAGCUCCGGCUGAGUCA